GCUGUAGCCGCUGGAUCCUUCUAUCAUGUUUACAGGAGAAUGAAGAGCCGGGAGGCCGCUGAGGAGCUGACUGACCACCGAGAUAUUUGCUGUUACUGAAACUCCUCAGAUCCCACCCACAUCACCAAUCCAGGCUCCAUCUCUGGAAUCCUCUCCUCAGCCAGCACUUGAACCUCAACAUCACUCAGCUUUCACUACCCAGAGUGCAUCAGGGGCAGCUGAAGAUCUUUCUGUCCCUCCGGAGGCUUAUCAGGUGCCCUCUUUGUAUACCUACUUUGCCAUAAGGGGGGCGUCCAGCUUUCCUCUGAGGCUUUCAGCUCUGCGUCAGGCUUCCACUAUUGUUCUGAGCAACAGCCAUCAUCGGAAGUAUGUCUGCAUUGCAGACAGGGUCAUUCUUGGUGGACUGGCCGCUCGGAAUGCCA